rnacentral:rRNA from 1 species
UACGUAGGGUGCAAGCGUUUGUCCGGAAUUAUUGGGCGUAAAGAGCUCGUAGGCGGUCUGUCGCGUCUGCUGUGAAACUCAGGGCUUAACCCUGAGCUUGCAGUGGGUACGGGCAGACUAGAGUGCGGUAGGGGAGACUGGAAUUCCUGGUGUAGCGGUGAAAUGCGCAGAUAUCAGGAGGAACACCGGUGGCGAAGGCGGGUCUCUGGGC